rnacentral:rRNA from 1 species
AAUUGGAGCGGCCGAUGUCGGAUUAGCUAGUUGGUGAGGUAAAAGCUCACCAAGGCGACGAUCCGUAGCUGGUCUGAGAGGAUGAUCAGCCACACUGGAACUGAGACACGGUCCAGACUCCUACGGGAGGCAGCAGUGGGGAAUUUUGGACAAUGGGCGAAAGCCUGAUCCAGCCAUGCCGCGUGAGUGAAGAAGGCCUUCGGGUUGUAAAGCUCUUUCAGACGGAAAGAAAUAGC